GGGUGUGAGGACGAUGUGGCUGCACCCCGUCACCUCCCUGAUCCCCAGGACUCAUUGGACUGAUCUGGCUGACUAGGAGGCGGUCCUCACUCUUCCUCACCGCUCCUGGUGUGCGCCUCCCCAAGAGGAUGAUCACCCCGAUACAGGAGAACCCCCUCCCUGUCAGGCCUGUAGGAGAACCUCCAAACAAGCUCUCAAGGAUGAAGUUUUACUACAUGAUGCUGUGUAUCAGAUAUAAUUUCACCGCUAUCCAGGCUUCUUUUCCAGAGCGCUGGAU
ensembl:misc_RNA 7SK 7SK RNA